rnacentral:rRNA from 1 species
AUGGCACCCGUUAAACUCCCAAGUAAGUGGACGUAUGCGGACACCACAGAAACCCUGGCGACGUACGGCAAACCUGCCAUCUUCCUAACUAUGACUUGCAACCCAAACUGGCCCGAGAUACAGGACGCGCUACUUCCAGGCCAAAAUUUGCAGGACCAAUCAGACCUCGUGGCCCGAGUGUUCAGGUCCAAACUGGAGACGAUGAAAGACAUGCUGACCAAGAAGCAUAUCCCAGGCGUCCUGAAGGUGGUAGAGUUUCUGAAGAGGGGCCUCCCCCAUGCUCAUUUCAUGUUGAUGUAG